UACAGAGGGGGGCAAGCGUUGUUCGGAAUUACUGGGCGUAAAGGGCGCGUAGGCGGCCUUUCUAAGUCGAACGUGAAAUCCCCGGGCUCAACCCGGGAACUGCGUCCGAUACUGGAAGGCUUGAAUCCGGGAGAGGGAUGCGGAAUUCCAGGUGUAGCGGUGAAAUGCGUAGAUAUCUGGAGGAACACCGGUGGCGAAGGCGACCACCUGGCCCAACACUGACGCUGAGGUGCGAAAGCGUGGGUAGCAAACAGGA
rnacentral:rRNA from 1 species